UUUAAACACACUUCAGAAAUGUUAUCUAUCAUCUCUAGGUGAAGAAAAGAAAGCAACAAAGAAUCUUUCCUCACCGACAAAGCCUCAGCCAACUACAGUUCAUUUCGACUAUGACAAGUUAGCAGAAACGUUAUUAAGGCAGAUACAUGGACAAGACGUGACAACACCGUCAAGCAAUCAAGCUACAGUUGACAUCACCAAAAAACAAGAAAAAGUUGUUGCAGCAGUACAGGUCACAAACACAUCGCCAUUUGUUUCGACGUUCUCACAAGGUUCAGAAGGU